UACGAAGGGGGCUAGCGUUGCUCGGAAUCACUGGGCGUAAAGCGCACGUAGGCGGAUCUUUAAGUCAGAGGUGAAAUCCCCAAGGCUCAACCUUGGAACUGCCUUUGAUACUGGGGAUCUCGAGUCCGGAAGAGGUGAGUGGAACUGCGAGUGUAGAGGUGAAAUUCGUAGAUAUUCGCAAGAACACCAGUGGCGAAGGCGGCUCACUGGUCCGGUACUGACGCUGAGGUGCGAAAGCGUGGGGGAGCAAACAGG
rnacentral:rRNA from 1 species